rnacentral:lncRNA from 10 species
ACUGCCCAUAAGCAGUUGGCCUUCGCACAAAGGAGGGUGUCCAUGGAGGAGGGCAGUCUGUCUGUGCAGCAUAUUGUUGAGUGAUUGUGAAUCUGCAAGCCUGCAGUUUGAUUCAAGGAGAUUCAAAACCCGUGUCACUGCUGCCAUCUUCCUAGAAUCCCUUUAAAUCCUCAUGGAUUUGCUGACAUUGGGAGCAUCCUGAAAGAGUCCCCAUGCUAGGGUGGCUGCAGUAACAGGUUCUCCCCACUCCAGAAAAAAUCAAAUCAGAUUGUGAAUUUAUUCCCUGACAUUAACACACGGCAUUACAGGAGCAUGUACAUCACAUGGUCAAUUUAUUGGCAUGAGGAUUAUGUCAUCGGGGAAUAAAUGGGAAAUUCUCAAGGUGGCCCAGGCCUGUAGGCUUCCAGUGAGAAAACUGGAGACCACACUCACCCGUCCCACUGCCGUUUCUUUGGGGCUGCCUGUGAUACUGGGUUAUUCCCCUUGCCGAGUUCCACUGUGCUUACCCUGUUGGAAUAUGAUGGUGGACUUGCCAGAGGAGAUGACCAUGAUUUUCAGGAACAGCAGCCCCUCCUUCCUGGUUGAGGCAGCCAGCAGGCACUCCUAUCCAUGAGCCACAGCUCAGCUAAGGCAAUCCAGUCCAGCUGCAUGCCCUCUCUCUGCUUCUGGGGAGGUAGGAAGGACCAGGGGCAUUCAUGCUUGUUUCUAGGGGGCCCUAACUGGAUCUCUGGAUCAAGACCUACUCAGGGGAGAAAGACUACUCUGGGUUCCAUGUUAGGACUGACGGGUGCAUCUUAACUGAGAUGCAGACAGUGGACAAUUCGAACUCUGACCUGAGAGCAAGCCCCAGCCUUGGUGCUCAUAAAUGCUCCGCUUGGUCCUUCACAUUUGUGUUCCACACAGGAGAAGCCAAGUUGUGAGCAGUGCACCUUCACAAGCAAAGCCUCGACUGAAAUCUUCUCUAACAAUUGGCUGGUCACUCCUGAGCGUAAUCUACCCCUUCAGAACACUGGGGAUGAAUUUAGAGACAUCGAAGCCUCCUGAUGAGAAAUACGUGUCCACUCACCGGGAGAACUGAAAUACCAGGAGAUUUCUACACAAAUCUCACAGAGUCCUUCUGGCGUCCUAGGGGUUUGCUCACAUAUAAGGGACUUUCUGGUAGGAAGAGAGUCUCUUUACAUUCUUUAUUAUAUGAUCCUGGUGGCUUUGUAGAGAGAUGGUACAGCUGACAGAUCAUGUCCUGUGGGGCCAGGGAGUUGUGUGUGUGUGAAUGCUCUGUGAACUUGGGCAAACUACUUAGCCUCUCUGAGCCUUAGCUGCAUCAGCUUUGAAAAACAGGAUGAUAAAAUGGAGUCACCUUAUUUGACUUUUAUAAAUACACUUACACAAUUACACAAGUUGUGGGGAUGGGAAGAGAGAGUUGGGGAAAGAGAAAUGAGAGAGAGAGAGAGAGAGAAUGAAUGAUAAACAAUUUAAACAACAGUGGGGUGUAGACCAACGCCCAGCCUGGCAAGGGUGAGCCCAGAGAGCCUUCCCUCCUGGCUAUUGGCAGCCUCCGCAUGGAAGCCUGUCGUUGACUUCUUAAUGAUGAGAGAUGUUCUGGGGGCACUCCAGGAUUCUUGGACAUGGGAUCGUCUUCACAGCUGUGUCUAUUGAAAGCUGAAGUUUCAGUCUCCCCUGCCCCCUGCCCCCUGGAGUGGCUUCCCAGGGGAAAUUCAAGGGCACCUGUGACUGCAUGGCUGCUUUCCUUUCCUUUACUCAAUGCCGUCCUUUGGUGACAGCCGUGUCUCAUGCCAGGAUACAUGAGGUGCUCUAUAGUAGUAUGUUUUCCCUCCUGGGAGGUAAUUUUAUUUAAAUGUGAAGUCAAAAGGAUCACUAAAUAGAACCAUGAGGCAACCACUCUGGGCACCUGCCUGGUGAUAUCCACAAGAGCUGACCACAGGUGCCCCCUGUGCCCAGCAAGUCCUUGGCUGGGCAGUCACACAACAGGCAUGGGGAUGUGUGGCCACCAAGCCCUCCAGGGCAGUGCUAUUUGUAAUAGUCCCAAAUGGGAGAGAUGGCAAACGCCCGCCAAUGGGGCAGCAUGGAUAAAUGGAUGCUGCACAGCAACGGCGAUGAGUGAGCCCCAGCACCCGUGAGCUCACCAGUGUAAUAUUGGGUGGAAGAAGCCAGGAGGAAGGGCAUUCACAUUCUGUGAUUCCAGCUACACUAUGUUUAAAUAUGGGCAGAGCUAGGCUGUGGUGCUGGAAGCCAGGACAGUGGGAUCCUUGCAUGGGGGUGAUGGUGCUGGUAGGUUCUGGUAAUUUCCUCUUCUUGAUCUGGGUGUAAACAUUUUGUGAAAAUUCAAUGAGCUGUACAUUUAUGACUGGUACAUUUAUGACUUUGUAUGAAUAUUAUACUUUCAUAAAACUACUUUAAAAUAUGAUUGUGAACCUUUUUUCACCUAUUUUCUGCCAAUUAGCACCGAAUUGCUCACUAACUAAUGAGUGGUGCUGGUUUUGACUUGCUUGCUACACUGUCUUGAGACAGAUAGGGUUUUCUGUGCUUUGUAUGACCCCCUCUGGAACCAGGGUGGGACUGGGAACACUCGGAAAACAUGUGCUGACAGAUGCUGGGCAUCCCCGUGUUGGUGGAGGCAUGCUCAUUCCUCAGCAAAAUACCCAUAUGGGGUGUUGGCAGGAAAGAGGACAGAAAAGGACAAAGUAUUUGUCUCUGCUAGCGUUCCUGGAGCUGUCUCACCUUGGCCAAGCCCCCGCCCAGUCCUCUCCUAACGUGGACAGACUAGGGGGCAGAAACUAGUCAGCCAAAGAAUUUCCAAGCUAGGGGUUGAUGAAUGCUUGGAUAAUUUGCCCAUGAACACGUUGGAUUCUUCUUCACUUGCCAUCACGGGGGGAUAAGUACCCCAGUUUUUUUUUGGAGAGAAUUGAGGGACUGUGCCAUUGCAGUGUGGAUUUCAAGAGAUUUUAAACGGAAGGCAGAGUAACAGUGUGGUUUGGGAAGCUCUAAAGACAGUUGUCCUGGUGCGGUUUCUUCCAUAAAAGAGUGGGGACGCCAUGGACCUGCUCACCAAAUUCCAGUCCCGACACAGUUCUGUGAGGCACUCUCCACAUCAGGGCAGACGGGCAGGAGGAGUUUACACAGCGAUCUGGGGGCCAUUAGAGCACUGAGGGAUCCAUUGCUGUCUCUUGUUUCUGUUUCCCACACUGUGCUGGGUGCUGGGAACAUGACGAUGAACUUGAAGGAAAUAAUGUGUACGGUGGUUCAUUUCCAAGACAUAGUGCCUUGAAUCAGUUUAGGUCAGCAAACUACAGAAGAAACAGGAUAUACUAGGCCCCUGCUUGGAGAGCUGAUGCCUGUUUGUUGCCCCUCACCCCCUUAGUUGCCCUUACCAGAACCAAAGGAGUUUAGUCUAAGAUGAAAGUUUACUAGCCUGCAAAAUAGCUCACUUUGUCUGUUCUUAUCAGCCUGCCCAGCUACUUAGGUCAUAAGUGAAAUACUUGAAGAGCCCCUGAGCUAACUAGGAUUGCAAUGCAUUGUGGCUGCAACAAGAUGCAGCAAGACAACUGUAAAGAAAAUGCCUAAAACCCCUACCCACCAACCCAUAGGCGAUGUCCAGGAAGACUGUGACCUCCAUAGUACUCAGCAUUUGAGGAACUGGGGGAGGGACCUGUGCACUAGGGGAUAAAUUGCUUGUUGAAACUGUGCUGGGUGUGCCUGUCCAUCAGAUACCCUAUCUUGCAAGACUGUCG